rnacentral:tRNA from 1 species
UCUACAGUAGCUUAGUGGUAAAGCUUUUGGCUGUUAACCAAAAAAAUAUCAGUUCGACUCUGGUUUGUAGAG